rnacentral:rRNA from 1 species
CCUACGGGAGGCAGCAGUAGGGAAUCUUCGGCAAUGGGGGCAACCCUGACCGAGCAACGCCGCGUGAGUGAAGAAGGUUUUCGGAUCGUAAAACUCUGUUGUUAGAGAAGAACGUUAAGUAGAGUGGAAAAUUACUUAAGUGACGGUAUCUAACCAGAAAGGGACGGCUAACUACGUGCCAGCAGCCGCGGUAAUA